rnacentral:rRNA from 1 species
CCUACGGGUGACAGCAGUGGGGGAUAUUGCACAAUGGGGGGAACCCUGAUGCAGCGACGCCGCGUGGGUGAAGAAGCGCCUCGGCGCGUAAAGCCCUGUCAGCAGGGAAGAAAAUGACGGUACCUGAAGAAGAAGCCCCGGCUAACUACGUGCCAGCAGCCGCGGUAAUACGUAGGGGGCAAGCGUUAUCCGGAUUUAUUGGGUUUAAAGGGUGCGUAGGCGGGCAUUUAAGCCGGCGGUCAAAUGUCGGGGCUCAACCCCGGCCUGCCGUCGGAACUGGGUGCCUUGAGUGGGCGAGAAGUAUGCGGAAUGCGUGGUGUAGCGGUGAAAUGCAUAGAUAUCACGCAGAACCCCGAUUGCGAAGGCAGCAUACCGGCGCCCUACUGACGCUGAGGCACGAAAGUGCGGGUAUCGAACAGGAUUAGAUACCCUGGUAGUC